AUAUUUAUUGGCAGGGGAGAUUCCAGGAUCUCGAAGGUGGUUUUCUCAGUGAGGCUCACCCAUUGUACUCCGGGUCUGCUGACCCCUGUGAUUUCUCCAAAUGUGCAAACUUGACUACGUAAUCUGUGGUUGUGGGGAACUGCAUUCACAUUCACCCCAU